rnacentral:misc_RNA from 1 species
GAUGAAGAACGCAGCGAAAUGCGAUAAGUAAUGUGAAUUGCAGAAUUCAGUGAAUCAUCGAAUCUUUGAACGCACAUUGCGCCCCCUGGUAUUCCGGGGGGCAUGCCUGUCCGAGCGUCAUUACAACCCUCAAGCUCAGCUUGGUGUUGGGCCCCGCCGCCCCGGCGGGCCCUAAAGUCAGUGGCGGUGCCGUCCGGCUCCGAGCGUAGUAAUUCUUCUCGCUCUGGAGGUCCGGUCGUGUGCUCGCCAGCAACCCCCAAUUUUUUUCAGGUUGACCUCGGAUCAGGUAGGGAUACCCGCUGAACUUAAGCAUAUCAAUAGCGGAGA